AAAAUUUUUAAACUAUUUUGGCAAAAAUAAAAAAAAUAAAAAUUUAAAAUAACAAAAAAAUCAUGCACAACAUAAUUUAAAUGUCGAUUAAAAUUUAAACACAAUAAUUUACCCAAAAUAGAAAAAUUCUAAAACACAUUUCUAGGGUGUUACAUCCUCCUCACCUUAUAAAAAUUUGGUACUCCAAAUUUAAAAUUUUAAAACAGUUCUAGAUACUUGUCCCGCAUUUCAUCUUCAAGUUUCCAUGU
rnacentral:lncRNA from 1 species